GUCCGGAUGGCGCAGUGGUUAACGUAAUUGCCCAGUAAGCAGGAGGUCCCGGGUUCGAGUCCCGGUCGGACA